AUAAGAAAAAGAAAGUGGAAGAGAAAGAGAAAGAUCUCUGAAUGAAAUGCAAGGCAAUGAGCUAUUAGCGUGUCAUAACAGAUUGAGGGUGACAAGGUGGUACAGUGAAAGAACGAGAAGUUGAAACAGCAGAGAUGCAGACAAAGAGAUGAUGGGAUGAAAAAAUGAACGAUAUAAUCAUCACAGGUUAUAACUUCGACAGUCGUGGUAACUGUGACCAAAUUUCCAGUUUGUCGACUGGAAUCUUUCAAAAUAAAUGCUGGCCCAAAGUACGUUCCAACAAGCGGAGAUGGGAGAAAAUGAUCAGCUAGUGAGCCCAUCAGAGUCUCAUGGCAGCAAACAUGAUUUGAUCGAGUACAAAAGGCUCAGCUUUCACUUUUACCAGGUCUUCUGAAAAGCAUAUUUUUACAUGCCUUGGAUUCUAUCACUUGGACUUUGAGGAAAGCCACCAUUUCCGAAGAAAUUAUUUUACGAAAAUCACACUGUCCCUUACCACCUCCUUGAUGCUGUCAUAUUUCAUCGCUUGAGGUUCAGCCCAGACUAGACAGUUAUUCAUGCUCCUGCACCGGACUUUCUUGACCUUUGUAAUGCUAAAUUUAGAAAUGUCAAAGAUGCAGAGCCGCCAUUUGAAUGUAUGUUGAUCACAAUUACGAAAUAUUUGUUGGACUAAAAAAUCAAAUGUUCUCUAGCAAUGAAGAAGAAGAAGUGACUUGAAACUUUACUUUAUAAUGGGAUGUGUUAGUCGGAUAUCUGUAAGAAAAUAAAUUGGCAGAUAAAUUGUUUUAAAGAAUAUAAGGGUGAUGCAAAUUAGUUGAUUUCUCAAUGUAUAUUAUAUUACACCUACAAUAUUGACAUAAUAUUUCAUCGUACAGACAGGACAAAAACAAAUACUUAAACGUAUCUUCUCUCACGCACUCUUUUUCCACUCACACCAUACAUAAUUCGAAAAUUUUUCAUAGAACUAUCAAAAUCGACAGCUCUAAACUAAUAGUAAACUAGAGUAACAUUAAUUAUUAAGUACGACAAAUACAAAAUAGUUCUUCAAUUAGAAUCAGAAAAAACUCGGAAGUCGAUUGGACGCAAUAUGUAAAAUAAGAAAUAAAAUAUUUGUAUAUUGUACAAUUCAAUCUAUAUCCGUACGACGUCAAUGUAACCGAUUCGUUAUCAAUAAUAAUAAUAAUAAUAAAAAAAUGUCGCUGUA